GCUGGCGGCGUGCUAAUACAUGCAAGUCGAACGCUUGUGGUUCAACUGAUAUGAAGAGCUUGCUCGGAUUUGAAGAUGAACAUUGCAAAGAGUGGCGAACGGGUGAGUAACACGUGGGAAACCUACCUCUUAGCGGGGGAUAACACUUGGAAACAAGUGCUAAUACCGCAUAAUACUGAUAACCGCAUGGUUAUCAGUUGAAAGAUGGUUCUGCUAUCACUAAGAGAUGGUCCCGCGGUGUAUUAGCUAGUUGGUAAGGUAAUGGCUUACCAAGGCAAUGAUACAUAGCCGAGUUGAGAGACUGAUCGGCCACAAUGGGACUGAGACACGGCCCAUACUCCUACGGGAGGCAGCAGUAGGGAAUCUUCCACAAUGGACGAAAGUCUGAUGGAGCAACGCCGCGUGUGUGAUGAAGGGUUUCGGCUCGUAAAACACUGUUGUAAGAGAAGAAUGACAUUGAGAGUAACUGUUCAGUGUGUGACGGUAUCUUACCAGAAAGGAACGGCUAAAUACGUGCCAGCAGCCGCGGUAAUACGUAUGUUCCAAGCGUUAUCCGGAUUUAUUGGGCGUAAAGCGAGCGCAGACGGUUGUUUAAGUCUGAAGUGAAAGCCCACAGCUUAACUGUGGAAGUGCUUUGGAAACUGGAUAACUUGAGUGCAGUAGAGGAGAGUGGAACUCCAUGUGUAGCGGUGAAAUGCGUAGAUAUAUGGAAGAACACCAGUGGCGAAGGCGGCUCUCUGGACUGUAACUGACGUUGAGGCUCGAAAGUGUGGGUAGCAAACAGGAUUAGAUACCCUGGUAGUCCACACCGUAAACGAUGAGUGCUAGAUGUUUGAGGGUUUCCGCCCUUAAGUGUCGCAGC
rnacentral:rRNA from 1 species